AGAGUUUGAUUAUGGCUCAGGAUGAACGCUGGCGGCGUGCUUAACACAUGCAAGUCGAGCGAGAAGUUUUGAAAAGAUUCUUCGGAUGAAAUUUAAAAUGGAAAGCGGCGGACGGGUGAGUAACGCGUAGGCAACCUGCCCCAUACAAAGGGAUAGCAUUUGGAAACGAAUAUUAAUACCUUAUGAAACUUAACUAGUGCAUGCUAGGUAGGUCAAAGAUUUAUCGGUAUGGGAUGGGCCUGCGUCUGAUUAGCUAGUUGGUGAGGUAACGGCUCACCAAGGCGACGAUCAGUAGCCGACCUGAGAGGGUGAACGGCCACAUUGGAACUGAGACACGGUCCAA
rnacentral:rRNA from 1 species